GUUAAGUAGAAGUGGUGGUUGCAUUUACGUGACGUUUUUCUGCUCAAAGCAUUUGUAAACUGCUUUGAAUGAUCUUCAUCUGUGAAUUUGGACGAUGAUGUCGAUAUUGGACGAGAAUGUAUUAUCAAGGGGCUCUGCGUAUACCUCAACGAGGAUCCAGACAAUUUAGUGAAAGAGUAUGUGACUGCUGACGAAGCCUUCAUCCAAAAAUCCAAUGAGACCACCACAGUGGGAAUCUAUGUCCUUAAAUUUCAUGACGGAUCUCAGGACAUCGAGAUUGUCCUUGAAGGCCAGAACGUCUUGCAAGGCUUGGACAACUUUGCAUUAGCUACGGCAAUGCUUUUUGGUCUAAUGUAUGCUUUAAGUCUCAACUACCCACCUGAAAUGAAAUAUACCUUUGAGGUACUGCAGAAAGAAGUCAUGGAGCUGGAAGGCUGCACUCUUAUCAAAGAAAGAUCAAGUUCUUAGAAACAGACUCUAUGAGUGAGCUGUUUCCAUGGUACGGCAGGUACUUCCUCUUGGAAUAAGGACCACUGUUUCUUUUUUUAUUUCACACACACUCACAAAGAAAACUUAUACCGCACAUACGGAGUCAACUGUUUAUGGAGUAGGUUGGCCACUGUUUAUUUUGUGGUUGUUUGAUGUGUAUAGUUAGUUUUUUUUUCCCUGGUCAAAUUUGAUUGGUUAAAAGGACCUGAGUGGUUAAAAUUUGAUUGGUUAAAAUGGAAAGGCCACUCAGAAAUGAACAUUCUUGAAAGUUAAACAAAAUUGACUGGUCUUACUGCUUUUGAAACAAAACAAAAACGUCAGGGGAAGCUUUGGACUACUUAAUACUCCUUAUUGUCCACCUUUUCCACUACACGUUUGAUGGUGUCUUGUCUUUUACUUCAUGACAGGAUAUAUGCUGUCAUUGUUCGUAGUCAUUCAU